rnacentral:rRNA from 1 species
CGAACGAUGAACCUCCUUCGGGAGGGGAUUAGUGGCGAACGGGUGAGUAACACGUGGGCAAUCUGCCCUUCACUCUGGGACAAGCCCUGGAAACGGGGUCUAAUACCGGAUACGAGUUCGGGAGGCAUCUCCUGGACUGGAAAGCUCCGGCGGUGAAGGAUGAGCCCGCGGCCUAUCAGCUUGUUGGUGGGGUAACGGCCCACCAAGGCGACGACGGGUAGCCGGCCUGAGAGGGCGACCGGCCACACUGGGACUGAGACACGGCCCAGACUCCUACGGGAGGCAGCAGUGGGGAAUAUUGCACAAUGGGCGAAAGCCUGAUGCAGCGACGCCGCGUGAGGGAUGACGGCCUUCGGGUUGUAAACCUCUUUCAGCAGGGAAGAAGCGAAAGUGACGGUACCUGCAGAAGAAGCGCCGGCUAACUACGUGCCAGCAGCCGCGGUAAUACGUAGGGCGCAAGCGUUGUCCGGAAUUAUUGGGCGUAAAGAGCUCGUAGGCGGCUUGUCACGUCGGGUGUGAAAGCCCGGGGCUUAACCCCGGGUCUGCAUCCGAUACGGGCAGGCUAGAGUGUGGUAGGGGAGAUCGGAAUUCCUGGUGUAGCGGUGAAAUGCGCAGAUAUCAGGAGGAACACCGGUGGCGAAGGCGGAUCUCUGGGCCAUUACUGACGCUGAGGAGCGAAAGCGUGGGGAGCGAACAGGAUUAGAUACCCUGGUAGUCCACGCCGUAAACGUUGGGAACUAGGUGUUGGCGACAUUCCACGUCGUCGGUGCCGCAGCUAACGCAUUAAGUUCCCCGCCUGGGGAGUAC